rnacentral:rRNA from 1 species
GACGAACGCUGGCGGCGUGCUUAACACAUGCAAGUCGAACGGAGUGGCGAACGGGUGAGUACCACGUGGGUGACCUGCCCUGCACUUCGGGAUAAGCCUGGGAAACUGGGUCUAAUACCGGAUAGUGUGGGAUGGGACCGCGGCCUAUCAGCUUGUGGGUGGGGUAAUGGCAUACCAAGGCGGCGACGGGUAGCCGGCCAGAGAGGCUGGACGGCCACAUACGGACAGAUACACGGCCCAGACUCCUACGGGAGGCAGCAGUGGGGAAUAUUGCACAAUGGGCGGAAGCCUGAUGCAGCGACGCCGCGUGGGGGAUGACGUCCUUCGGGUUGUAAACUCCUAUCACCAUCGACGAGGUAGAUGGAGAAGAAGCACCGGCUAACUACGUGCCAGCAGCCGCGAUAAUUC